UGCAGGUGGAAGCAUGAACGUGUUGGGGGAGUGCGAGGCAGGAGCUGAUUGACUGCAGCAGCAGCAGGCGAUUAAUGGGCAACAACGCUCUGACAGGAGCUGCUGACAAGGCGAUAAUGAGAUUAGCACCUUCUGAUUCUUUUAUUAACAAGUAGCCAAAGAAUCAUUUGGGCAUGUCAGUAGAUAAUGAUGGAAAUUAAGGGACACUCCGGAACCUUUGGGUAGCAGAUCAUACACCUAGCACUCUGAAGGUGCACCCUUCCACCUGGUCAGGUUAUCAGACCAUUUGGUGGACUUCUCCUGAUUCAGUAUCAUUGAACAAGAGAGGAAAAAAAGUGCAGACUGCAUACAGCUUGUGAGAUCCCAAGCUGCUGGGAGCCCUGUUGAUCAAGUGGAUCAAGUGAAGGACAACCCCUGGCACUGGUGGAACAACACCCACACACAAAGCUCCCAUGCUUAAUGCACAAGUCCAAAGAUCAAAGAUGCACGAGAUCAAAAGACUCCUGGGUCUUUGUCCUUUGUUCUUUA